GGUUUUCACCAUGUUGGCCAGGCUGAUCUCCAGCUCCUGACCUCCCAUGAUCCACCCGCCUCGGGCUCCCAAAGUGUUGGGAUUACAGGCGUGAGCCACUGCGCCUGGCCCAGAUGUGUUUUCACAGGUGAAUGUUAUAUUUAGUUUCCCAGAAAAUAUUCAUAAGCACAUCCUUUAUGCCAAGUACUGUCCAGUGAACAGGACAAGCAAAAUAUCCUGCCUUCAUGCAGCAUAAAUUCCAACAGGUGACUGGAACUGAUUUGACAUAACCAUCGUAUGCAUGGAGAAGCUGAGAACAGUAAUCUGCAGAAGCAAAAGUAUGAAACAGCCGGGCAAAGAUGCACAGAGGGGUCAAAGCAUCGUAGAACCACAGAUGUGAAAGAACUGCGGAGAGGACGUUCUCCAGGAGGGACAUCAUUAACUCAACCCGGGCGAGAGACUAGGCUUUGACCAGGCUUUCCAACCCACGCAGCUUCAGCUUCCAUCAAGCCCAUCCUAACCACAACGAACACAAGGCAAGGCAAACAAGC
rnacentral:lncRNA from 10 species